GCGCCUGAGGGGCUCGCUUGUGGGUGUGCUGGCAGGAUAUUUUUGUUUGUGCGUCAAGAAUUCUACAUACAGUAGCACGUUUGUAUGAAGGUGUGAUUAUUCACAGGCAAAUUGUUAUAUGCUAUGGAGGUACAUUUGUGUCUUUGUCGAGAGCAAAACGUUUUAUUUUCAAUCAAAAAGCAAAUUUUUCAAACACAAAGGAAGUCAUAGCGGACACCACCAAAGAAGGACUGUGAUGAUGGCAUCUCAGGAUGAAAGAACACCGUCUGUCACGAAGAGUUAAGGAGUCUUUACAGCGUGUAGAUGGUGCAGAGAGCAAGCUGAUCAAGGGGUCAAAAAUGUAGAUAUUCCCAGAUGUUCACUGCCCGAGGAAAAGGCAGUGGAAGCUUCAUUGCUGGCAAAAGUGUCCAUAACCAGAGGUUAUAUCUGCUGUUUUGUAGAACCCCUCAUGCAUCUGAACUGGCUGACACAGAUGGCAUAGCAUGAUCAUAGGUAUGUUUUGAUGUGAGAGAGGAAGCCUGUCCCAUCAUCGGCACCUCACACGCUCUUAAGAUUUGGGCCCCCAGUUGGCCCGAAGGGUUAGGAGACACCGUGAUUGUGAUGAACUGAGAGAAUAUUAGGGUAGCACUGUAAUUCAUUAAUCGGAUGCUGUCUACCGCUGGUCUUACCACUUUCCCUUUGUCUUCCACACCUCUCUCCCCACCUCGUCUUUCUUCCUUGUUUAAUAAUGCACACCGUAUGUUCAUUGAAGUACAGAUUGAACUUGUAUUUAUAUUAUAAUGCAUGUAUUAUGUUUUUAUAACACCUGGCUAAUGAACGUCUUUCAAUAAAUGUUUCACAUUCUCCA